ACCGCGGUAGCCCAGUUGGUUAGGGCGUCGGCAGUACUGAUGCCCAAGGUCGCAGGUUCAAAUCCUGCCUGCGGUG